UGCCCUGGAUAGUGCAGUGGUUACCACACCUGUCUUGUAAGCAGGAGAACCCGGGUUCAAAUCCCGGUCCGGUAC